rnacentral:lncRNA from 1 species
AUGGUGGCUCAGAGGAACUCCAGGCAAAGGCACCGGCUCCUCUAUGCUCAGACCCCCAACCUUGCGGGGGGUCCCCGUCACCUCCCCUUACAGAGGGAAUUGCAGAAAAAAGACCAGAUUCUCCCUCAUUGGGUGUACGCCCAAAUCUUUCGGUCUCACAUCGACAUUGCACUCCAUCACUUUAUUCCUGCAUCGCUCCUGCUUUUCCACACGGAGGUGGGUCACAUGGUUAAAUCAAAUUCAGGGAGACCCACAACAGCAGUUCAGGAGCAUCCCACACUUUGGGGAAGUGUUGUCAUGGGAACAGAUGAGGCCAGGCCGGUGUGAUGUGGAGCAGGGCUCCUCAUACGUUAGGGAGCAUUAGACUCACUUAAAGAGCUUGUUAAAACGCAGAUGAUGGGCCCUGUCUCCAGACUUUCAGUAGUGAUGAGGUUUGGAGGUUCAUGGGGUUUGGAGCUGACAGCCAAGAAAGAAUUCUUGAAGAUGUCUUUGGUGCAAAAAGGUGAUUUUACUAAAUCACAGGGACAGGACCCUGGGCAGGAAAGGCUGCACCGGGGUUGUGAAGAGUGGCUUAUUUUAUACUAUGAAGUUGGGGAGUUAAGUCAGAAGGGAGGCCUCCAGAGGGACUUUGAUACGCCGAAGAGGACUCCUAAGUUGCUUGAGGCCUUGCUGUUGUCAAGAUGAUGUUGCUCUCCCUCUAGUAAGGCAUUAACAUUAGGGCAGUAGGGGGUUCCUAGAGAAAUGCUGUGCUCUGUAUUUGCCUCAAGUAUUUGUCAACGGGCUGCAGGUUAUGAGGAAAUGUAAUUCUACCCGCCAUUUCCUUCUUGCCUUGUUCCCCACAUCACUAUGGAGGGGGGAUGUUGGGGCUCCAGGGGACUGAGUCUACAGGUUACUGGAGAUCAGGCUGUUGAUCAGAUUGCCUUUUUCUUAUAAUUUACUGAUAUUUAUAAACUGAUGGAGACUCAGUUUAACCAUUUAUUUUCUGUCCUUUCCUUUGUCCUGGGCAGCCAGGGGGACUGGAGGAAUAUCCCGCCUGGGUGGGGGAGGGGGUGCCCUCAGCCUGCCCCAUGCUCCCUCAUCAAGUAGGACUCUGACAGGGACUGCUAAUUUGCAUUUAGGAUUGUAAGAUUAGCAAAUUAGAAAAAAACCCUAAGAUGUCUAAUUAAAUUUGAAUUUCAGAUAAACAACAUUUUUAAAAGGAUAAGUAUGUUUCAAAAUUACAUGGGACAUACUCACCCUAAAUAUUUUUUAACAUAAAAUUUAUUCGUUGCUGAAAUUCCAGUUGAACUGGGUAUCUUUAAUUCUAUCUGGCAACAUAAUUUGCAUUUCUUUAAAAAAAUUUUAAUGUAAAUUUUUGAGAGAGAGAGCAAGCAGGGAAGGGACACAGAGAGAGGGAGGCACAGAAUCUGAAGCAGGCUCCAGGCUCUGAGCUGUCAGCACAGAGUCCAACAAGGAGCUCGAACUCAGGAGUUGUGAGAUCGUGACCUGAGCUGAAGUCAGAUGCUUAACUGACUGAGACACCCAGGUGCCCCUCUUUUUUUUUUUUUUAAUGUUUAUUUUUGUGAGAAAGAGAACAUGUGUGCACAGCAUCCCAACCAGGCUCUGUCUGCGCUUAUAGGAGAGACCCUGAAGCAAGGCUCAAUCCCAUGAACCUUGAGAUCAUGACCUGAGUUGAAAUCAAGAGUCCCAUGGUUAACUGACUGAAACACCCAGGCACCGCCAUAAUAUGCAUUUCUAACAAGGGACACUGGGGAUGAAGAUGUUCCUGGUCUGGAGACCACAGUUGGAGCCACAGGUAUAGACUAGGAUGCAGGCAGAGCCCUAGGGAACACCAAGAUUUAACAAGCAAAAAAAAAAAAAAAAAAAUCUGAGCAGGAAUGUAAGCAAGGCAGCAGAAUUAGGAGUGUAUUUUUGAAACCCAAAGGAGAAUAAAAGCUUUAAAUACAUGGAGUGAUCAACAGGGUCACGUGUCAGAGAGAGUUUGGGGGAUGCUGUGGACUGAAAAAAAGAAAUCACGUUUGGCAACAAGGAAGCCAGGGAUCUUCAUGAAAGCAUUUUCAGAGCGCUGGUGGAGCAGAAGCCAGCUUGUGGUGGCAAACCGUGGGGGCAUCACGAUGGAGAUGACUGCGUGCCUGUGAUUAUUUGGAGGGCCUCGUUUGUGAGGCAAAAUAAAGGGGGGUGCGGGGGCGCGUGAAGGUAUUUUUAUUAAGGGGGAUGGCUACUGGGGCCCCUGGGUGGCUCAUUCGGUUCAGCGUCCCACUGUGGCUCAGGUCAUGAUUUCACGAUUCCUAAGUUCGAGCCCAAUGUUGGACUCUCUGCUGUCAGUGUGGAGCCUGCUUAGGAUGCUCUUCUCCUUGCUCCUGUGCCCUCUUUCUCUUUCUUAAAAAUAAAUAGACAUUAAAAAAAUUUUUUUUUUAAAAGGGAGAUGGUGACUAUAUUUUAAGGCCAUAGAUAAAGUCGGUAGAAGGAACACCUAAAAUUACAGACUCUAGAGAAUAGCAAAUAGGGCACAGGUCUAGAGAUCUCCAGCUGCGGAAGCAGAAAGAAGACGCAAGUAGGCAGAAAGAGGGGGAGGCAGA